rnacentral:lncRNA from 1 species
GACAUUGUUUUUUUUAUAAAAGACGUAUCCAUUUAAGAGAUAAAAAGAGACAAUUUAUUUUUGGGGGGGAAAAAAACUGUACGUCUUAUUUACUACAAUACUAAAAACAUAUUCAGCCCUUUAAGUGGAACUAAACAAAAGUGUUAAUACUUGAAAGAGGACAUAUUGACUACUCAUACUUCAGAAACUUACUCAAAUAAAUUGCAAUUAAUAUAUUAAACAAUGAUACACUUACUAAAAAAGAAUGAAGGCAUAAAAGCUAUAGUCUACUAAUUAACUAAACAUCAAAGGUUAUAAACAAGAUACAGAGAGACAUAGGAAGAACAGAACAGAACAGAACAUAUCUAUAUAUUUCUAUUUGAUAAUAUAUAUAUAUAUAUAUAUAUAUAUAUAUAUAUAUAUAUAUAUAUAUAUAUAUGGAUUAUGCGCGCUAAGCAUAGGAAGGGGAACAAGCUAUGCAAGCUAGAAAGAGAAUGGCAGAAGAAGCGCCAUCCUCUUCCAGAUUGGAGCUGCUCCUCUUGAACUUGCCAGCUUUUCCUUUGUUGCACUGAAUUUGUUUCUGCAGCUGCUGUUGCUGAUUCUGUGCUUGUGGUUGCAUUUGCUUGUUCCUCUUCAUUGCUUCUUCCACUUUAGACACCAUUAUUUCCUUAAGUGAUGUUGAUAAGCAAACUGAAAUAGAAAAAUUAGGAGACAAGAGAGAGAAUAUUGUGCAUGGAAACAGCCCUACAUGCACCUUCUCCUUUUAUAGAGUUUUUUGGUACGAAAUUGCCCUUGGUGUAAUACAAUGGAUAUUUGCCAGGUUUCACUUAGCUAUCAGUUACUUCAAGUGGUAUAAGGUUGGGACCCCCUUUCCCAUAUUAAUAAAAAUUAUGAGAUAGAUGCCAACCAAGAACGUUUUGCUCUUCUUGUAUAUAUGUUUACAAUAUAUCCAAGUUGUAAACUUGGAACGAACUAGUACCAUUGACAAAUGACAACUACAUAUUACCAUUAUCACAGACAGAUCCCUACUUUGCACUGUUAUGCCAAACUUGAUGAAUUCCAACAUUUGAUGGUAAAUUUCGCAAAUCUGUAUUACCCAUAUAAA